rnacentral:misc_RNA from 1 species
AAAACGGCGAACUACGGCGGCGGCUCGAAAGUCGAGAACUCGAGAGAGCGUUCGAGACCCGAGAGUACAGCUGGAACACAGCUAAAGAGCCGAGGAAUUAUUAGUAGCGGUCGGCCGUCCGCGGCAGUGCCUCAUACGUCAGUCAGGAGUUGUCUGCAGCUUUGCACCCAUCCCAAUUAUUAUUAGUGUGCGACAGUAAUCCAAGCACGACUCGUGCCACAGACAACACACGCACCGAAGCUUUCGUCGUAUUGUGCUCUUUUAAAGCCAAUUGUCAUCACAGCUGAGUUAGCUUGCGGCCUUCAAAAUGUUGAAUCUUUGCAAGCAGUCGUUCCUCGCGAACGCCCAAAAAACGAGUGCGAGAUGUUUUGGCAGUGUUUUAUCUGUACCAAAUCCAAAAGAGUUUCCUCUGGAAAAUGAGCCGCUUUUGAGCUACAAAAAAGGGAGUAAGGAGCGAGCAGAAUUAGAAAAAGUUUUAGAUAAAAUGGCUGGCGAAUGUGAAGAAAUACCCUUGGUUAUAGGAGGUAAAGAGAUAAAGUCUGAUGUAGUUAAAUAUCAAGUCAUGCCACAAAAUCAUCAACAUAAAAUAGCCAAAUAUUAUUAUGCUACACCUGACCUAAUUAAAAAAGCUAUUGAUGUUUCUGUCAAAACGCAAAGAGAAUGGGAGCAAGUUUCUUUUGAAAAACGUUUGGACAUAUGGAACAAGGCAGCAGAUUUGAUGGCGACUAAAUAUCGGCAGCAAUUAAAUGCCGCUACAAUGUUAGGACAAGGAAAAACUGCCAUUCAAGCGGAAAUAGAUAGUGCAGCAGAACUAAUAGAUUUCUUUAAAAUCAAUGGAUAUUUUGUAAAAGAAGCCCUAAAAUAUAAACCUAUUUCACCAGAUCCUAAAGAAACUCUUAACUCAAUGAGAUAUAGAGGAAUGGAUGGUUUUGUUGCUGCUGUUUCCCCUUUUAAUUUUACUGCCAUUGGUGGCAAUCUUGCCUAUACUCCAGCUUUAAUGGGCAACUCUGUUUUAUGGAAACCAUCAGAUACUGCUGUUUUAUCUAAUUGGUGGAUUUACAAAAUAUGUAAAGAAGCUGGAGUACCUGAUGGAGUUGUAAAUUUCGUUCCUGCUCAUGGACCAGAUUUUGGAGAUACUAUUACAGCUUCUCCCUACCUAUCUGGCAUAAACUUUACUGGAUCAGUUCCAACCUUCAAUCGAUUGUGGAUGCAAGUUGGAAAAAAUAUUAAUAAUUACAGAAAUUACCCAAAACUUAUAGGGGAAUGUGGCGGUAAAAAUUUCCAUUUUGUACAUCCUAGUGCAGAUGUUCAAUCAGUUGUCAUGGGUACUAUUCGAAGUGCUUUUGAAUAUAAUGGACAAAAAUGUUCAGCUUGUAGCAGAAUGUAUGUUCCUGAAUCUUUGUGGAACGAGAUCAAAACUGGUUUAUUAUCUACUCGUGACAAAUUGAAGAUGGGUGAUCCGCGAGAUUUUUCGGUAUUCCUUGGAGCAGUUAUUGAUGCUGCAGCGUUUAAACGAAUUACUGGAUACAUCAAUCAUGCCAAGAAUUCCCCUGAUCUUGAAAUAAUUGGUGGUGGUCAUUAUGAUGAUUCGAAAGGAUAUUUUAUUGAGCCAACAAUAGUUCAAACUAAAAAUCCCAAGGAUAAAAUUAUGACAGAAGAAAUUUUUGGGCCAGUUUUAACUGUUUACGUUUACAAAGAUGCAAAUCUCGAUGAAACCAUGAAGUUAGUUGAAUCAAGUACACCUUAUGCAUUGACUGGAGCUAUAUUCAGCCAAGAUGAAAAAUGGGCAAAACGAGCUCUGGAAGAAUUCAGAUAUAGUGCUGGUAACUUUUAUGUCAAUGACAAGUCUACAGGAUCUGUUGUAGGUCAACAACCUUUUGGAGGUGCUCGUAUGUCUGGAACAAACGAUAAAGCAGGCGGCCCACAUUAUGCUUUGAGAUGGGCUUCACCUCAAUCGAUUAAAGAAACAUUUGUACCUCUUAAAGAGUAUGAUUAUGAAUACAUGCGUUCGUAAACUUAUUUCCUCCACAAGUGUGUCUUAAUUAUUGCAAUAGAGUAGUAUACAAAAGUGGACUUAAUGACUAGAUAAUCAAAUUCACUCAUCUGAUUUUUAGAGUAUUUUAGUUCCUUUAAUUGCCAAGUGUAUUCAAUUUUGGGUAUUAUUAUUGUAAUAAAACUUCAAGAAAAUCUGUAGAUAAACAUUGAAUGCAUAAAAGUUUUUCUACCAUCAAGUGAUAAACUGUUUAAUAGAUCUGAAAAAUUAAAUUAAGAUUCUUUUAUAACAAAGCGUCUAGAUGUAGGUUGAUAAUUGUUUGUAAAAUGAGUGUAAAAAACUGUUACAGCAAUUACUUUAAAUAUUUACUUUUUCGUAUGAUCAAGGGGCACUGCUAGCACCUAUCUGUCAAGCUCGACAGACGAGCUGUAGUUCGGCAAAUACAUUGCAAACGGGUUUUUCGUUUGUAUUUACAAUAAUAAAGACAAAUAAUGAGACUUUUAUCGUUUUGCUUUGAGGAUGCGGCAUUUGAAGGCCACUGGUGGGCUUACUUAUUGUAAUGUUGUAAAAUUAUGUACAAAAGACACUGAUAGUUGAUAUUUUUAAAAAUCAUGUCAAGACUUGAGAUUAUCUCUCAACCCCUGUUAAGACGUUACCGACGUCGUCAUAGAAUCUCAAAUAAAUAGCUUUGUAAUAUAAUAUAAAA